rnacentral:snRNA from 1 species
GGAUGUGAGGGCGAUCUGGCUGCAACAUCUGUCACCCCAUUGAUCACCAGGGUUGAUUCGGCUGAUCUGGCUGGCUAGGCGACUGUCCCCUUCCUCCCUCACUGCUCCAUGUGCGUCUCUCCUGAAGUUGCGCCCUUGGUCAAAGAGGACGACCUUACCCGCUAAAGGAGGACCGGUCUUCAGUCAAGGGUUUACAAGUAGCUGCACUCCCCUGCCAGAACCUCCAAACAAGCUCUCAAAGUCCUAAGUGUUGCACCAAACUCUCAUCCCAUUUCCACAUUUUAACUUCUCUGAUACUGU